AUGGCUGUCGUCAGCUCGUGCUGUGAAGUGUUGGGUAAGUCCCGCAACGAGCGCAACCCUAUCAUCUGUUGCCAGCAUUUAAGGUUGGGGACUCAGAUGAGACUGCCGGUGGACAAACCGGAGGAAGGUGGGGACGACGUCAAGUCAUCAUGGCCCUUAUGUCCUGGGCUACACACGUGCUACAAUGGCCGGUACAGAGUGAAGCGAAACCGCGAGGUGAAGCAAAACGCAGAAAGCCGGUCUCAGUACGGAUUGGAGUCUGAAACUCGACUUCAUGAAGUUGGAAUCGCUAGUAAUCGCGCAUCAGCAUGGCGCGGUGAAUACGUUCCCGGGCCUU
rnacentral:rRNA from 1 species